GGGGAAUAUUGGACAAUGGGCGCAAGCCUGAUCCAGCAAUGCCGCGUGUGUGAAGAAGGCCUUCGGGUUGUAAAGCACUUUUGUUUGGGAAGAAAUCCGGUUGGUUAAUACCUGAUCGGGAUGACGGUACCAAAAGAAUAAGCACCGGCUAACUUCGUGCCAGCAGCCGCGGUAAUACGAAGGGUGCAAGCGUUAAUCGGAAUUACUGGGCGUAAAGCGUGCGUAGGUGGUUUGUUAAGUCAGAUGUGAAAGCCCUGGGCUCAACCUGGGAACUGCAUUUGAUACUGGCAGGCUAGAGUGCGGUAGAGGGUGGUGGAAUUCCCGGUGUAGCGGUGAAAUGCGUAGAGAUCGGGAGGAACAUUCGUGGCGAAGGCGGCCACCUGGACCAGCACUGACACUGAGGCACGAAAGCGUGGGGAGCAAAC
rnacentral:rRNA from 1 species